rnacentral:tRNA from 1 species
GGAAGGUGGCUCAGUGGUAGAGCACUUGCCUUGCAUGCAUGAGGCCCUGGGUUCGAUUCCUCACCACCA